UGGGGAAUAUUGGACAAUGGGCGAAAGCCUGAUCCAGCCAUGCCGCGUGUGUGAAGAAGGUCUUCGGAUUGUAAAGCACUUUAAGUUGGGAGGAAGGGCAUUAACCUAAUACGUUAGUGUUUUGACGUUACCGACAGAAUCAGCACCGGCUAACUCUGUGCCAGCAGCCGCGGGAAUACAGAGGGUGCAAGCGUUAAUCGGAAUUACUGGGCGUAAAGCGCGCGUAGGUGGUUUGUUAAGUUGGAUGUGAAAUCCCCGGGCUCAACCUGGGAACUGCAUUCAAAACUGACUGACUAGAGUAUGGUAGAGGGUGGUGGAAUUUCCUGUGUAGCGGUGAAAUGCGUAGAUAUAGGAAGGAACACCAGUGGCGAAGGCGACCACCUGGACUAAUACUGACACUGAGGUGCGAAGGCGUGGGGAGCAAACA
rnacentral:rRNA from 1 species